CGCGAUGUGUAGCAAUACACAUUGGCGGCGAGCGGCGGACGGGUGAGGAACACGUAGGAACCUACCCUCAAGCGGGGGACAACCAAUGGAAACGUUGGCUAAUACCGCAUACACUCGAGAGAGGAAAGUUGCCCGCAAGGGUGACACUUGAGGAGGGGCCUGCGUCCGAUUAGCUAGUUGGUGAGGUAAUAGCUCACCAAGGCGAUGAUCGGUAACUGGUCUGAGAGGACGGCCAGUCACACUGGGACUGAGACACGGCCCAGACUCCUACGGGAGGCAGCAGUGGGGAAUCUUGGACAAUGGGGGCAACCCUGAUCCAGCGAUGCCGCGUGAGUGAAGAAGGCCUUCGGG
rnacentral:rRNA from 1 species